rnacentral:misc_RNA from 1 species
GACUUGCAUAAGCUAUCCAACUACAGAACAUAGACUUCAUAAAUGGCUCUGUGUGAUUAACCUUGAAAGCAUAUGACCAUGCCUAUUUGCAUUUCUAAGUUGUCAUGUACAUUCUAAAGAGAGAGGACUGGCAUUAGAACUAAGACAAGUAGCACAAAAGAUAAUUGGAGAAAAUAACCAAAUGCAACCUCAAUGAGAAAGUCAAGAUGGAAUAUGAGUAAAGAGACAAUAAAACUCUCCACACACCAAAAAAGAAAACCUAAAGUUUGCUCAUGUUUGCGCCAACAAACUGCUUAACAGGGAGAUUAUGAAUAGCAAAGAAAACCAAUGACAAUACUCUUUGACAGUGCAAUAAUAUAGAAGAGAAAGACACAUAAAAAGGCUUGGAUGCAAUUAGAAUCUAAUGCCAUCUGGUGCUUUGCCACAUUUUCAGUAAGCCUAGUAUUUCAUUUUCUCAGCACCACAUGGUAAGAAGCAUAAUAAUAUUCAAAUGCCCCCAAUGCAAUGAUAUUCAAACUAGAGCUAUAAGAAAAUACAAUUACAAAUUAUCCAAAGUUAACGUCUAUUCUUAGAAAAUGUAAAACUUUCCACUCAUUUGUCUGAUAUAGCAGCAGAGAUUCAUCAUUGAAAGGGGGCAAGAAGACAACACUGGGCCACCGCCACAUUAACAAGCAGCUAACAGAAAUCCAUUGUCAUAAAACUUACAAGUCAUUAUAUUGGUCCUUUCUUUUCCUAAAAAUUCAACAGGAGUUGACCAUGGUGGUAACAAUUUAAAUCGCCAGACUGAGAUAACUCUCUGGUUAGUGAAUUCAUU